CCGCCCACGGCGAGGCGGUCCGCGCGCGGUUCUGACCCGCGCCGGACGGUCCCGCGCGGGCCCCGCGGGUCCAGCGCCUGCUGGCCAGCCC
rnacentral:tRNA from 1 species